rnacentral:rRNA from 1 species
AUUGAACGCUGGCGGCAGGCCUAACACAUGCAAGUCGAGCGAGCGGCGGACGGGUGAGUAAUGUCUGGGAAACUGCCUGAUGGAGGGGGAUAACUACUGGAAACGGUAGCUAAUACCGCAUACCAUCAGAUGUGCCCAGAUGGGAUUAGCUGGUAGGUGGGGUAACGGCUCACCUGGGCGACGAUCCCUAGCUGGUCUGAGAGGAUGACCAGCAACACGGGAACUGGAACCGGGUCCAGCCUCCUAGGGGGGGCGGAGGGGGGGAUUAUUGCACAAGGGGCGCAAGCCUGAGGCAGCCAUGCCGCGUGUGUGAAGAAGGCCUUCGGGUUGAAAAGCACUUUCAGCGGGGAGGCGUUACCCGCAGAAGAAGCACCGGCUAACUCCGUGCCAGCAGCCGCGGUAUUC